GGGUGUUCCAUGGGACAAUUCAGAGAACCUGAUAUUUGUUCCUGACCUUGAGAGGUGUGGAGGAUUGGUGUUUGGUUCAUGCAUGACACAGCUAAGUCACCUGAUAGGUUUGGCCAUGUGGGCUUGGCCCAGUCCCCCAGUUUGGCAGGCCAAGGGAUGCAUGAGUGUUUCCACCAGACACAUAAAGGCUCCGUGCCCAUGAUUCACUCUCAGAAAUCAGGGAAGACCAAUGUGCAUUUGCUCUCCAGGGGUGUCAUGCAAGACCUUACCAGCUGCUGCUUAUGAAAGAGUUUAAAGUGCUAUAUUAUUCCACAAGGCAAAUCAUAUUUCUGACCUCCACUGGGAAAAUAGCUAUGGUGCUAUCGACAGGAAGAGGACAAUUUGAGACAAUGACCAACGCAUCCACUGACCUUUCCUAGUAGGAAUUUUAUUGCCGAAAGAAAUGAUGCAUGUGUUAUCAAAGCAUCUUUUUCUAUUACACCACUGGAUUUUCCUCCUACAGCCAACUUUCUGUCCACGGUGUAGAGCAAGCUGCAUCUGUCUCUGAGGUUAGAGAAAUGAACCAAGAACUUGAAAUAGUGGUGAUCUUGUCGUAGAAAAAGCAAGGGUGGAAAAUCUCAAUCUCAAAAAGGAAAUUUGUGUGGAGAAGGUAGUGAAAGAUUUAUCACUCUCCUUUUUUCUCUUUGAAAAGAAGUCAAUGGCCAUUCAGUGUUUAAAUGAGAACAAAGACUCCAGGGGAGCCAGGCGAAGAGAUAUUUGUUUAAAGUAAAAGUAAAAACAUCAUGAGCCAGCCCUGAUGGCCUAGCGGUUAAAGUUCCGCACGCUCACUGCUUUGGAGGCCUGGGGUCAUUUCCCGAUUGCAGAACCACACCGCCUAUCUGUCAGUUGCCAUGCUGUGGCGGCAGCUCACAUAGAAGAACUAGAAGGACUUACAACUAGAAGGUCCAAGAUGGAGCUGGCCGUGCCUGGGGUGUCACGUCAGCAAAUGGAAACUCAGAUCGCCUUCCUGCCCUUGUAAAUGCUCUGUUUGACCAGAAAGCAGUACAUCCAUUCAGCCAAUCUCCAACCACCACACCAAUUCCAGGCAUUCUCACCCCAAGAUUGACUAUAUGGCUCCAGUCAAUCAGAUAUUUUCUAUUUUGCUCUUGCUUGUUCUUUAUUCUUUAUCCUAUAAAAGCUUCCUGCCAUCCACCCCAUUUUGCAGCUCUCUGAAAGGAGACUGUCUACUUCAUGACGUGC
rnacentral:lncRNA from 1 species